rnacentral:rRNA from 1 species
CCUGCCCAAGAGAUCGGGAUAACACCUGGAAACAGAUGCUAAUACCGGAUAACAACAGAUGAUGCCUAUCAACUGUUUAAAAGAUGGUUCUGCUAUCACUCUUGGAUGGACCUGCGGUGCAUUAGCUAGUUGGUAGGGUAACGGCCUACCAAGGCGAUGAUGCAUAGCCGAGUUGAGAGACUGAUGGCCACACUGGGACUGAGACACGGCCCAAACUCCUACGGGAGGCAGCAGCU